rnacentral:rRNA from 1 species
CGUGUAGGCGGCUGAGCAAGUCAGAUGUGAAAUCCCUGGGCUUAACCCAGGAAGUGCAUUUGAAACUGCUUAGCUUGAGUAAGGAAGAGGGAAGUGGAAUUCCUGGUGUAGAGGUGAAAUUCGUAGAUAUCAGGAGGAACACCGGUGGCGAAGGCGACUUCCUGGACCAAUACUGACGCUGAGGCGCGAAGGCGUGGGGAUCAAACA